UUGCAUUGCUUCUGAAGACAGAGAGAGAUUAUGCGACGAUGAGUGGGGGCGGACGAAACGUGAACGGAAACUUAAACGCGGUGUUCUACUCGGAGGCGUAUCAUCCGAUUCAGGCGGGAAGCAUAGACGGCACCGACACUCUCCCUCACGACAACGCCGUCUACCGAGCCUUCCUCUGCUCCUCCGCUGGCCUCUAUGACCCCCUGGGCGACCCCAAGCUCCUCGGCGAUCCUUAUUGCACUCUCUUCGUUGGUCACCUUUCUCAUCUCACUACCGAACGCACUCUUCGCAAGGCUAUGAGCAAGUACGGUCUGGUCAAAAACUUGCGCUUGGUCAGGCACAUUGUAACUGGUGCUUCGCGCGGAUAUGCUUUUGUUGAAUAUGAAGCCGAAGGGGAGAUGCAGCGUGCAUAUAAGGAAGCUCACCAUUCCUUGAUUGAUAAUUCUAAAGUUAUUGUUGAUUACAACAGACAGCAGUUGAUGCCAGGGUGGAUUCCAAGAAGAUUAGGAGGUGGUUUCUGUGGUAAGAAGGAAUCUGGACAGCUUCGUUUUGGAGGACGAGAAAAACCAUUUCGAGCUCCCCUGCGUCCAAUCCCAUAUGACGAGCUGGAGAGACUUGGGAUCCCACCUCCACCAGAAGGAAGAUACAUGUCACCCUAUCAGGUCCCGUCCCCACCUAGAAGGAAAAGGAGCUCCAUGGAUAGAGAAGAAAGUACCCAUAAAAGGUCCAUGGACAGGGAAGCGAACAUGUGCAAAAGUAGUCCUGUGGAGAAGGAAGAAAGGUUUUACAAAAGAUCUAUUGACCCAGAGGACAGUUCUGUAAGGAGCUCAACUGAGACAGAAGAACACUAUCACAACAGGAGCUCGGUUGACAGAGCAGAACGCUCUCACAGGAGCUCUAGGGAUAGGGAUGAGCGCUCUCACAGGAGGAUCUCUAGGGAUAGGGAUGAGCAUUCUCACAAAAGGAGCUCGAGGGAUAGGGAUGAGCGUGCUCAUAAGCGGCACAAGUCCCGUCACCGUGAGAGGUCCACCAGCCGUGAUCGCUAUUAAGAUUUUCAGCUGGAGGCAGGAAGGGGUUAUGGAAAGACCAAGGAGAGCAGUCACUCAUGAUUUCGUAAGAACCGUCGGGAACGCGUAAGUCACAAUAUACUCACGAGCUAGUCGUAAACACAAGCAAAAAGAAUGUCCAAUGUGCUUGACUUUCUCCUUCACAAAUCCCCGCUCAACUUCUUCCCCCAUAGUCGGUUGAUGGUGUCAAUAUGCAUCACGUUUUGCUUAUUCACAUUUAGAAAUGUAGGGAUCAUGCUAUGUAGAACUGUGUGCAUUCAAAUUUAGAACAAGAGCUCAUGGAUUGUAUGGAAAUUCAAGUCGC